UACGUAGGGUCCAAGCGUUAUCCGGAAUCACUGGGCGUAAAGCGUGCGUAGGUGGAUUGUUAAGUGCGAUGCGAAAUCCUGUGGCUCAACCAUAUGGACUGUAUCGCAUACUGGCAAUCUAGAGGAUAUGAGAGGCAAGUGGAAUUACUGGUGUAGCAGUGAAAUGCGUAGAUAUCAGUAGGAACACCAAUGGCGAAGGCAGCUUGCUGGCAUAUUUCUGACGCUAAGGCACGAAAGCGUGGGGAGCGAACAGG
rnacentral:rRNA from 1 species